GACGAACGCUGGCGGCGUGCCUAAUACAUGCGAGUCGAACGCACUCUCGUUUAGAUUGACGGAGUUUGCUCCUGAUUGAUAAACAUUUGAGUGAGUGGCGGACGGGUGAGUAACACGUGGGUAACCUGCCCUAAAGUGGGGGAUAACAUUUGGAAACAGAUGCUAAUACCGCAUAAAACCUAACACCGCAUGGUGUAGGGUUGAAAGAUGGUUUCGGCUAUCACUUUAGGAUGGACCCGCGGUGCAUUAGUUAGUUGGUGAGGUAAAGGCUCACCAAGACCGUGAUGCAUAGCCGACCUGAGAGGGUAAUCGGCCACACUGGGACUGAGACACGGCCCAGACUCCUACGGGAGGCAGCAGUAGGGAAUCUUCCACAAUGGACGAAAGUCUGAUGGAGCAACGCCGCGUGAGUGAAGAAGGUUUUCGGAUCGUAAAACUCUGUUGUUGGAGAAGAAUGUAUCUGAUAGUAACUGAUCAGGUAGUGACGGUAUCCAACCAGAAAGCCACGGCUAACUACGUG
rnacentral:rRNA from 1 species